rnacentral:lncRNA from 1 species
AUGGAUCAGGCCUCACGUCCUCACGAUCACGGGAGGCCGCCCGCCGCCGCCUCCGUGCACAUCUCUUUUCGCUGGGAAGACGGAUCAGAACCAGAUUCAACAUGGGAUCUACAGUCAGGACGAAGCGAAGCGCCAGGUAUGGAGGAUAUCAACUGCGUCGUCGUCCUCCUCUUGCUGCUGAUGCCGUUGACGCUGUUGCUGCCACUCGAGGAUGGCCGAGCGGAGCGCCCUGUUCGGGAUGAGCUCGCGGUGCUCGAGCGUCAGGUUCGUCAUCGGCGACGUGUCGUGCCCGCUGUCGAGCCACCCCUUGAUGGCCUCGGCUUCGUACGUGAACCCGUCCGCCGCGAUGACGGCGGCGGGGAGUCGUCCGGCCGGGCCACGAACGACGGCCUCCCGGCGGUCAGCGACGCGGCCUUCAUGAGGGGCUCGACGACCUUCCACACGUCGGUCGCGAGAUCCGGCCGGCGCCUCCGGCUCAUCUCGGCGCACCGCAGGCCGAGGUGCGCGAGUUGGUUGGCCUGCACGAACGGCCAGCUCCCCGCGGAGGGAUCGAGGAUGGAGUGCAGCCCGCCGCUCUCGAUGGCGUCCUCCACAACCUCGGCGAUCUUCUGGGGAGGCUUCCCGGUCAGCAGCCGCAGGAUGAUGAUUCCGAGGGAGUACACGUCGGAGCGCGGCGUCAGCUCGCCGGUGGUGAGGAACUCCGGGUCCAUGUACGCGAAGGUCCCCUUCGGUGUGGUCGUCCGGUACAACCGGGUGGUGGCGGCGGCGGCGGCGCCGGUGUUCGUCUGUAUCAGGAGCCGGCAGAUGCCGAAGUCGCCCAGCUUGCUGACGAAGUUGGCGUCGAGGAGGAUGUUCGCCGGCUUCAGGUCGCCGUGGACAAUCGGGUGCGGCUUGUUCGAGUGGAGGAAGCUCAGCGCCGAGCACAUCUCGUAGAUGAUCCUGG